rnacentral:tRNA from 2 species
GACUCCGUAGCUCAGCUGGUAGAGCAAUUGACUCUUAAUCAAUGGGUCGUGGGUUCGAGUCCCACCGGGGUCACCA